rnacentral:rRNA from 1 species
AUUUUGGACAAUGGGGGCAACCCUGAUCCAGCCAUGCCGCGUGAGUGAAGAAGGCCUUCGGGUUGUAAAGCUCUUUCGGCGGGGAAGAAAUGGCAACGGCUAAUAUCCGUUGUUGAUGACGGUACCCGCAUAAGAAGCACCGGCUAACUACGUGCCAGCAGCCGCGGUAAUACGUAGGGUGCGAGCGUUAAUCGGAAUUACUGGGCGUAAAGCGUGCGCAGGCGGCUUCGUAAGACAGACGUGAAAUCCCCGGGCUCAACCUGGGAACUGCGUUAGGGACUGCGAGACUAGAGUACGGGAGAGGGGGGUAGAAUUGCACGUGUAGCAGGGAAAUGCGUAGAGAUGUGGAGGAAUACCAAUGUCGAAGGCAGCCCCCUGGGUUAGUACUGACGCUCAUGCACGAAAGCGU